GGCGACUAACAUCAAAGCCAGAAUUUCCACCUCCAAUUUCCUGGGAGACUGGUGAACCUGAGGGAGAACAAAGGCUAGACCGAGGAGCGUCUGGGGCACCAGCCCGGUCACGGGCGGGCAGGCCAGCUUGAGGGGCUGUACUCGCGUGUAUCGCCAAGAUCCAUGCGGAUCCCUGUCCCCAGAUCAACGCCGCCGGCUUCCGCUGCAGCCAUCAACCGUACGGGAGUGGAUGUAACACUCGGUGAGCCACCUAACUCAGUCCUAGAUCCAGAAGCAGCAUCGAAGGCCAGGGGCGUGUCCAGGUCCAGGAGGCGGAGUCGAAGGGAGCAACAUGCGAAUGACGGCGAUCAGGAUCUGCAGAGCAACCCCUCCCCUGAACCUUACGGCACGUAACAUAGUGAAUAAGGAGUACCUCAUCAAAGUGCUGUACAUCAAAGUCCUUCAGAAGUUAUGUGUGUAAUGAAGAAACUGCACAACACCCAAGGGUCUGCAUGAGACUGCAAAUACACACAUGUACACA